CGGAUCACNUUUUGUUGGUUUCUAGGACCGCCGUAAUGAUUAAUAGGGAUAGUUGGGGGCAUUAGUAUUCAAUUGUCAGAGGUGAAAUUCUUGGAUUUAUUGAAGACUAACUACUGCGAAAGCAUUUGCCAAGGAUGUUUUCAUUAAUCAAGAACGAAAGUUAGGGGAUCGAAGACGAUUAGAUACCGUCGUAGUCUUAACCAUAAACUAUGCCGACUAGGGAUCGGGCGCAGUUUCAAAUGACUCGCUCGGCACCUUAAGAGAAAUCAAAGUUUUUGGGUUCUGGGGGGAGUAUGGUCGCAAGGCUGAAACUUAAAGGAAUUGACGGAAGGGCACCACCAGGAGUGGAGCCUGCGGCUUAAUUUGACUCAACACGGGGAAACUCACCAGGUCCAGACACAGUAAGGAUUGACAGAUUGAGAGCUCUUUCUUGAUUCUGUGAUUGGUGGUGCAUGGCCGUUCUUAGUUGGUGGAGUGAUUUGUCUGCCUAAUCGCGAUAACGAACGAGACCCUUACCUGCUAAAUAGUCGACUCGGCCUAGGCCGGGACCUUUUUGGUUACGACUUCUUAGAGGGACUGGAGGCUCCAAGCCUCAGGAAGCCGGGGGCAAUAACAGGUCUGUGAUGCCCUUAGAUGUUCUGGGCCGCACGCGCGCUACACUGAUAAAGUCAGCGAGUUUUAUUCUUUGAAUAGUCCUUGGCCGGAAGGCCUGGGCAAUCUUGUUAACUUUUAUCGUGCUGGGGAUAGCGCAUUGCAAU
rnacentral:rRNA from 1 species